rnacentral:tRNA from 5 species
GCGUUUGUAGCUCAACGGAUAGAGCAUCUGACUACGGAUCAGAAGGUUGGGGGUUCGAGUCCCUCCAAGCGCA